AGAUGACGUUUCCCGAGAAACCAAGAGGAGCGGGGAGCUCGGGCAGCGCUGCAUUGUAGCCGCUGAUCGUCGUGUAUAUGUCUUAAUCUUCCAGCCACAAAAAGUACAGGGCCGCCCUGAAGAAGGAGAAACGAAAGAAACGUCGGCAGGAACUUGCUCGACUGAGAGACUCAGGACUCUCACAGAAGGAGGAAGAGGAGGACACUUUUAUUGAAGAACAACAACUAGAAGAAGAGAAGCUAUUGGAAAGAGAGAGGCAAAGAUUACAUGAGGAGUGGUUGCUAAGAGAGCAGAAGGCACAAGAAGAAUUCAGAAUAAAGAAGGAAAAGGAAGAGGCGGCUAAAAAACGGCAAGAAGAACAAGAG
rnacentral:lncRNA from 10 species